rfam:Myotis brandtii contig304528, whole genome shotgun sequence.
GGUGGUUCUCGGGUGACGCACCCCGGACUGGGGCUCUCUCCUCUCUGAUUCCUGGGUAUGUCACCCAAGAACC